AACCUAGCACACCUGCGGUGUGUACCUGCGGAAGGAUCAUUAACCUUUCAAAUCAGGGUGCGGCGCGGCCCCCGAGGAGCGGAAACAAUCCUUGGGAGGUAUGCGGGGGCUUCGAGCCCCCCAUUUACGCACGCACGACUGCCAUCCUUACUUUACGAGCACCUUCUGUUCUCCCUCGGCGGGGCAACCUGCCGUUGGAACCGAAUAAACUCUUUUUGCAUCUAGCAUCACCUGUUCCGA
rnacentral:misc_RNA from 1 species